UACGUAGGGGGCGAGCGUUGUCCGAAGUUACUGGGCGUAAAGCGCGCGUAGGCGGUCCCUUAAGUCUGGUGUGAAAGGUUCAGGGCUCAACCCGAAGAGUGCACUGGAUACUGGGGGACUUGAGUUUGGGAGAGGAGAGUGGAAUUCCUGGUGUAGAGGUGAAAUGCGUAGAUAUCAGGAGGAACACCUGUGGUGUAGACGGCUUUCUGGACCGUAGCUGACGCUGAGACACGAAAGCGUGGGUAGCAAACAGG
rnacentral:rRNA from 1 species